rnacentral:rRNA from 1 species
UAAUUUGAGAGUUUGAUCCUGGCUCAGGACGAACGCUGGCGGCGUGCCUAACACAUGCAAGUCGAGCGGAGGAUUCAAGAUGUUUACAUCGCGGAUCCUUAGCGGCGGACGGGUGAGUAACACGUGGGUAACCUGCCUCAAAGUGGGGGAUAGCCUUUCGAAAGGAAGAUU